rnacentral:lncRNA from 1 species
ACUCCCCUUAUGCUUCAUCUUCCUCGAGUCGACUUCCGUCUGUGUGCGAGUCGACUCCUCCUUAUGAGCCGACUCUGAAACUUACUCGAGUCGACUCGAACUUUGGCACGCACCUAAAAAUCAUGCUAUUUUCGUACCAAACCAGAGACACUCACUAAGUUAUGAUCUAAUUUGAUGAUCAUAGUUGAGAAACUCUAUUUUUAACACAAUCUAAACAUCAAAAUCAAUGAACUAGAGGAGAACACCACUAGGAUGGAUCAAUCACUCCUAAUCCCC